rnacentral:rRNA from 1 species
AGCAGCAGCCGCGGUAAUACGAAGGGUGCAAGCGUUACUCGGAAUUACUGGGCGUAAAGCGUGCGUAGGUGGUUCGUUAAGUCUGAUGUGAAAGCCCUGGGCUCAACCUGGGAAUUGCAUUGGAUACUGGCGAGCUAGAGUGCGGUAGAGGGUAGUGGAAUUCCCGGUGUAGCAGUGAAAUGCGUAGAGAUCGGGAGGAACAUCUGUGGCGAAGGCGACUGCCUGGACCAGCACUGACACUGAGGCACGAAAGCGUGGGGAGCAAACAGGAUUAGAUACCCCGGUAGUCCCUGUCUCUUAUAC